GCUUUAUGCUUUUGCUUGCCACCGAACCACCUUCCGUCUUCCGAUGAAUUGCUAACAUGCUAAGGAGAAUUGGAUAAAACCAUACGGUCUCAAAAAGCCUCUUAUAUCUCGUCGCAUGUGGUUCAUUCAUCAGCUCGUGGGAUCCACGGAGAAAAAACGUUUUAGCUAACAUACAUGCACACCGACUGGAUAUCCCUGGACAUCAUGUUGGGUCAAGUUAUUUGUCAGGUCUUAUUCAUUAUUGUCCCAGGCCUGAAUGAUUGAAUAUUCAAAGCUAUAUCACUUUCAUUUGAGGCUGUGGAUGUAGUGUAUCUUCUUUGGUGCAUUCGAGCUUGUCUGGGGUCAAAUACUCACACUAAUACCAGUGGAGAGGUUUCCUGCUAUACGACUACCUUGGAAAAAGAAAGGAGAUAAUCAGCAAGGUACAAAAUGAAUUGUUUCUUGUUGGAAGGAUUAGUAUAAAAAGUACUGAUUUAUUAAUACUACCCUCCUUUUUCCAUGACAAAUACCGGUAGAGAGGCUUCUGCUAUACGACUACCUUGGAAAAAGAAAGGAGAUAACCAGCAAGGUAUAAAAUGAAUUGUUUCUUGUUGGAAGGAUUAGUAUAAAAAGCACUGAUUUAUUAAUACUACCCUCCUUUUUCCAUGACAAACUUCCAUUUAAUAUGGUACAUAUAUGAUUUUAUGUUUUUCUGAAAAUUAGGACAAAUCUUUCAUAUAAAAUGUCACAUUACAUGUCUUGUUUCAAAAAACGUAAUUCAUGUUACAUGUCUGUAACUUUGUGUUUUAUGUGUGUUUCAUGAUUCA